ensembl:lncRNA LOC102554278 uncharacterized LOC102554278
GUGUAAACUGAGAAGCCUACAUUUCUUUAGUUCACUGUUUGCCUGGGUUAUCUCGGACUACGACCGGUCCAGUGAACACAUUUGUCCGUUUCAACCAAGUAGAAAGUCUCCCUGGCUCUACACUGUGCUUAGAACGCUUCCAGAGUUAACUGGACUUGGGUCUUCUCACAGCCUUGUGCAAAAUGAAAGAUAAGCCAUUGUCCCUGGGAAUGGAUGCAGGAGCUGGAUAUGAAAACAAAAGAAACUGCACACACUUUCCAAACUUAAAAGAAUUUUCUGUGCAUGUCAAAAAGUAUUAUUUGGGUUAUGAACAAGCCAAGCAAAACAGGAGCUGUCAGUAGUAUAAGAACAGAAGAUUACUGAGGAUUAGACAACAGUGAUCUCAGAAUGCUUCAGACUACCCAAAAGUGCUAGAAAGGAGACAAGAUUUUCAGGUGAAGAACAACAGGAAAGGUACAUGUCACUAAGAGCUCAAAGUACAACUAUGCGGCAGUCAGUUCUCUUCCACUGUUUGGAUCCUGGUCAUUGACUCAGUUUGGCUGUUGGCAAUUCUACCUGCUGAACCAUUUUACCAGCCACAGACUUAACAAUGUUUAUUUGAUAUAAAAGUAACUUUUAUCUGCC